rnacentral:misc_RNA from 1 species
AAGAGUUUUGGCAAUAAUUGCAAAAACAAGUAAAACUUUGGAUUUUUUUGAAUAUUAGGCCUUUAUAAUAAGGCCAAAAAAGAAUCUUUUAAGAAAAUUAAAAUUACCAGUUUGACAAGAAAAUGAGAUCUUUUGGUUGGGGUUGGGACUCAUUUAAGCGGGGAUGGAAGUGAAACUUUUGGUCUUUGGAGAUUAAUAUAUAAUAAAUCCUGUUAGACUUAUUUAUUGGUAGAAAGGUGAGAGAUUU